AUUGAACGCUGGCGGCAGGCCUAACACAUGCAAGUCGAACGAGUGGCGGACGGGUGAGUAAUGUCUGGGAAACUGCCUGAUGGAGCCGUCUAACUACUCGAAACGGUAGCUAAUACCGCAUACCCUCGGAUGUGCCCAGAUGGGAUUAGCUAGUCGGUGGGGUAAAGGCUCACCUAGGCGACGAUCCCUAGCUGGUCUGAGAGGAUGACCAGCCACACUGGAACUGAGACACGGGCCAGAAUCCUACGGGAGGCAGCAGUGGGGAAGAUUGGACAAUGGGCGCAAGCCUGAUGCAGCCAUGCCGCGGGUAUGAAGAAGGCCUUCGGGUUGUAAAGGACUGUCAGCGGAGAGGCGUUACCCAAAGAAGAAGCACCGGCUAACUCCGUGCCAGCAGCCGCGGUAAUAC
rnacentral:rRNA from 1 species